rnacentral:sRNA from 1 species
GUCAAGAGGUAUAUCAUACAUAUACCUCAUUGCUUAGUUAAACUACGGCUUUCUAUCUCGUCUCCAAAGCCGGACCAUGUUGGGGACGAGUCGUAACAGGUUCAUACUUCCUUGAGGGAGUGCGCUCCCAGGCCCAGCGCUCUGUGGAGCAAGACAAUAACACAAGAGCAGCACGUCAGACGGAUUCUUCUGAAAAGACCACACCAGAAUCUACCGCUGCUACUGACUUUAGUAGACGAUUGGGAUCGACACUCAACCCAGCUGCUGAAUCGUGGUGCCCAGCUCAAGGUACUGGUAAGGCUCCCAGGAAUGUGAUUUCAGGUGUUACGCAGACUUGUAGCCAGCCCUCGACACAGAAUGGCCAGAAGUAAAUAGUUAUAUCUAGAGGCGACGCAUGCAAAUGGUAAAGAAGGGGCGCUGUCCUGAUACCUGAUAGGUUGAGAAUCAUCAGUUAAUGUACAUGCUAGAACCCAUAGUCUAAUUCAAAAGAUAAAGAAGAAAAAAAC